rnacentral:rRNA from 1 species
UACGGGAGGCAGCAGUGGGGAAUAUUGCACAAUGGGCGCAAGCCUGAUGCAGCCAUGCCGUGUGUAUGAAAAAGGCCUUCGGGUUGUAAAGUACUUUCAGUCGUGAGGAAGGUGUUAAGGUUAAUAACCUUAGCAAUUGACGUUAGCGACAGAAGAAGCACCGGCUAACUCCGUGCCAGCAGCCGCGGUAAUACGGAGGGUGCGAGCGUUAAUCGGAAUUACUGGGCGUAAAGGGCACGCAGGCGGUUAAUUAAGUUGGAUGUGAAAUCCCCGGGCUUAACCUGGGAAUGGCAUUCAAGACUGGUUAGCUAGAGUCUUGUAGAGGGGGUAGGAAUUCCAUGUGUAGCGGUGAAAUGCGUAGAGAUGUGGAGGAAUACCGGUGGCGAAGGCGGCCCCUGGACAAAGACUGACGCUCAUGUGCGAAAGCGUGGGGAGCAAACAGGGAUUAGAUACC